rnacentral:lncRNA from 1 species
AAAAUUGGUUUUUGAUGCUAUUGCUACUAUGGUGGGCCUGUCGGUAGAACUUGGAGCAGUCAAGCCCAGCCAUGGUGUGCGUCCGUGGACGACAACGAUGGCUUCGUUUGCUUGCCUGCAUGUGCUCAUGUGUUGUACUGGUGUGGGGUGUGCAUGUUGUGUGUGUGUGUGUGUGUUUGUGUGUGUGUGGUGUGUGUGUUACUGAUUCUAAUUGAAGUUUUUACCUGGAUGUUUCUCUGAGACGUUCAAGUAUUACGGUCUAAAAAGGUGCGGUUAUGAACUCAUCCACGGGUUCAGGUUACUUAUUCAUGCUGCUGGCCCUUACUACUAGUUGAAAAGUUAAAUACUUAGUUCUAAUGCUCCUAACGGUCGCUUGUAAUCUUAUCUUCAAUNNNNNNNNNNNNNNNNNNNNNNNNNNNNNNNNNNNNNNNNNNUGUGUGUGUGUUUCUGAUUCUAAUUGAAGUUUUUACCUGGAUGUUUCUCUGAGACGUUCAAGUAUUACGGUCUAAAAAGGUGCGGUUAUGAACUCAUCCACGGGUUCAGGUUACUUAUUCAUGCUGCUGGCCCUUACUACUAGUUGAAAAGUUAAAUACUUAGUUCUAAUGCUCCUAACGGUCGCUUGUAAUCUUAUCUUCAAUAUCUUGCUCAUACGGAACAGCAGAAUGUCAUAGUAUAUACUUGUACAAAGUUUUUCUGGGACUGAUGAGUUGUACUUGCCUUGACAGUACAACAUGUUGUGCUGCCAGCGAGGAUUUGCAACAUGUGUUUAAGCAAGCAUUUAUGUUGUGUUACAAAACAAAACCUCUCCUCUGUUCCAUAGAAGAUUGUCUGAAUUUUUUAAAUAUAUUUAGAAAAAGAAGUGUACAGACAGUAGCUUAGCAUUUGAUAAUUGUUUGCAAUGUGUACAUUCUUUUGAUGAUUAUGUAGUUGAUUUCAUGCGUUACCAUAGGUCUAACAGUCCAGUAUGUAUUUUAUAAGCAGUUCAAAGGGCAUAUCAAGUUCGCAUGGAUCGUUGCAUCAAUGGUUACUAUCACAAAACACAAAAAGCAUUUCUUGGAGAAGAAAAUUCAGCCACUUCAAGUAUAUAAACCAUGCAAGUUCGAUGAUGAUGACACGUCGAAACACAUUUUAAAUUAAAUCUAAAAGCUUCACUUCUAUAAGUUCAAG